GCACUGCUGAGGAGACCCGAAAUAGGACGAAACGGCCGUCCAGUGC
rnacentral:hammerhead_ribozyme from 1 species